rnacentral:rRNA from 1 species
GUGAACGAGCGACGCCGCGUGGGUGAAGAAGGCCUUCGGGUCGUAAAGCCCUUUCGGACGGGACGAACGCUUCGCGGUGAAAGCCGCGAAGUCUGACGGUACCGUAGGAAGAAGCACCGGCUAACUCCGUGCCAGCAGCCGCGGUAAUACGGAGGGUGCGAGCGUUGUUCGGAAUUACUGGGCGUAAAGCGCGUGUAGGCGGCCUUGCAAGUCAGGCGUGAAAGCCCUCGGCUUAACCGGGGAAGUGCGUCUGAAACUGCUUGGCUUGAGUACGGGAGAGGGAGGCGGAAUUCCCAGUGUAGAGGUGAAAUUCGUAGAUAUUGGGAGGAACACCGGUGGCGAAAGCGGCCUCCUGGACCGAUACUGACGCUGAGACGCGAAAGCGUGGGGAGCAAACAGGAUUAGAUACCCUGGUAGUCCACGCGGUAAACGAU